rnacentral:rRNA from 1 species
AUGUCCACCCCCGCUUGCAAAGACGGACCUAUUCUUGACCAUCCGAACGGGCGACGUGCCAAGUCCAAACGUGGUCACACAGAUGAUUUCAUUGAGCCGUUUAGCCCCGAGGAACGCGUAGCAAUCUGCACAUGUGCUUUCGGCAUUACAUUUGUAAUUUGCCUUUGCUUGUUGAUUGUGUUGUGUGUUGGAGCCGCAGGUGGCACAGCCAAUGUGUCCCAACGACCAGGCGACCUCUUUGUCCGACUUGUAGGCACAAGAGGUCUUCUUGAUCCCCGCGGCUCUCCGCCGACUUCGCCAGCUUUCCGCCUUGCCUUGGACUUCGAUCGGACACCACCAACCUACCGGAGCUGCAGCGGAGGCGGCAACUCGUGGCUGCGCAUCUCCUACCAUGACAUGAUCCUGGCGUGGGCUCAAGUGCCACAUUUCUGCGUCUACGGCAACCGGGGCGUUGGCAGUGUGGGUACAUUGGAGGUGGAGGCCAAGGCAGACGCCUCUGUGCUGCGAGAGGAGGUGCGCAACUUGCUUUGGAGUGAGAUUCAGGUUGUGGGGAAGGUCGAGUUCGACGUGGAUGGAGAGGUGGCGGGCCUAGGGUAUCUUCGCUGCAAGUUCUUCAUCAUGGAAGAUAAGGCUGCGGAUGUGCCCAAGAGCCUGUGCAUCCUCCGUCAGUAG